AAAAAAUGAAAACCCUAGUCUAAAACUAGAAAAAGAAAAAUGGAAAGUGUCUGUUUGAGUGUAUCCUACUGUCUACAAAAGCCCUUUUAUAGGGUUACAGAAACUGGAACAAGGAAAAGAGAAAUCUAGAAAAGAGAAACCUUCUUCACUUGGACGCUUCGCAUUUUUUGAUCGGACGACCCUCUUUAUUUGUCCACGAGCUCAUGUCUCAUCCCUCUGAUCAUCAUCAACCUCUUCAUUCAACUUUGGUCACGUGCUUCUUCUUCGAGCAAGACGCGCUCCUUCUUUAGUUCUUUCUCGCUUUCGAACCAAGCCCUAACUCUUGGGAAUUCUCCAAAUGAAAGUGCGUGCAGAGAAUGUUUGGCUCGAGCAGCUUUGCAAAUGAAAUGUAUCAUCCAGAGACCCCCUGCAGCUGCUGCCACACCAAAACGACACCGUUCCACUUAAGUUGCAGCCCACAUCUAUACGACCCAAUUUUCGUUUCAAUUAGCAGCUCAUGUGCAUCAGUGACCCCGUUUAGCUCUAAGUAUUUUUCAAUUAAUCUCCAUGACAGCAACUCAAAGCUUUUUAUUUUAAAUCCAAUCAGCAGCAAUAGUGUAGCAGCCAAAUCAAUCCUCAAUUUUAAACAAAU
rnacentral:lncRNA from 1 species